rnacentral:rRNA from 1 species
AUACGUAGGUGGCAAGCGUUGUCCGGAAUUAUUGGGCGUAAAGCGCGCGCAGGUGGUUCCUUAAGUCUGAUGUGAAAGCCCCCGGCUCAACCGGGGAGGGUCAUUGGAAACUGGGGAACUUGAGUGCAGAAGAGGAUAGUGGAAUUCCAAGUGUAGCGGUGAAAUGCGUAGAGAUUUGGAGGAACACCAGUGGCGAAGGCGACUGUCUGGUCUGUAACUGACCCUGAGGCGCGAAAGCGUGGGGAGCAAACAGGAUUAGAUACCCUGGUAGUCCACGCCGUAAACGAUGAGUGCUAAGUGUUGGGGGGUUUCCGCCCCUCAGUGCUGCAGCUAACGCAUUAAGCACUCCGCCUGGGGAGUACGGUCGCAAGACUGAAACUCAAAUGAAUUGACGGGG